GUUUCCAUAGUGUAGUGGUUAUCACGUUAAGCCUAACUUGCCAAAAGCAUGAAAGGUCCCCAGUUCGAAACUGGGUGGAAACA
rnacentral:tRNA from 1 species